AGCGAACGCUGGCGGCAGGCCUAACACAUGCAAGUCGAACGGACCCUUCGGGGUUAGUGGCGGACGGGUGAGUAACACGUGGGAACGUGCCUUUAGGUUCGGAAUAGCUCCUGGAAACGGGUGGUAAUGCCGAAUGUGCCCUUCGGGGGAAAGAUUUAUCGCCUUUAGAGCGGCCCGCGUCUGAUUAGCUAGUUGGUGGUGUAACGGACCACCAAGGCGACGAUCAGUAGCUGGUCUGAGAGGAUGAUCAGCCACAUUGGGACUGAGACACGGCCCAAACUCCUACGGGAGGCAGCAGUGGGGAAUCUUGCGCAAUGGGCGAAAGCUUGACGCAGCCAUGCCGCGUGAAUGAUGAAGGUCUUAGGAUUGUAAAAUUCUUUCACCGGGGACGAUAAUGACGGUACCCGGAGAAGAAGCCCCGGCUAACUUCGUGCCAGCCGCCGCGGUAAAAC
rnacentral:rRNA from 1 species